GGGUCUGUAGCUUAGUCAGGUAGAGCAUCCGGCUCUUAACCGGACGGUCGCGGGUUCGAACCCCGUCAGACCCGCCA
rnacentral:tRNA from 1 species